CUUCGAGUAUUUGCAGAAUUUUUAUAUAGGAUUAUUUUUCAUUUUUCUUUUAAUACCAAACUGUACAAUGCAUAGGAAUAUGUAAUUUCUAUAUAUUACGGUAGUAUACCUAUUCGAACGAUUUUGUAUUAUUUACAUGUACGGAAUAAUAAUUCCUUUGUGGAUAAAGCUUGCUCAUAGAGUUAUCGCUGCAACGCUCGAUGCGUACUACCUUUACGUGACAAAGAUACACAGUAAUGAUUGUAAAUCCCUUUGCCAAUUUCUCUUUGUUCGUCGCGCUACUUUGUUUGGUAACCGCCGCCUUGUUUCUCUAUUCGAAUUUCCCGCUGUUGCUGAAAAUUCAAAACGUACCGAAACAAAGCACGAGUUCACUGUGAUUGCUGGCUAUACACAUAUAUAAUUAUAGUAACACUAUACCUUGUUAAAAUACCUACCUCAUUAUUAUUGUAGUAUAGAUUUAUUUUCUUUUUUUUUUCUUUUUUUUUUCUUGGCUUUAUAUCCCCUAGGGGAUCAAGCGUAAGAGUUUCUCUUUGAUGUAUAAAAAUAUCUCUACUUUUAUUUCUCCUCGUAAGGUGCCUACGACCUGUUGUAAUUGCAUACAUGGAAUGCCCAUCAAUGAUCUGUCCCGUGUAUCAGCCUAUUAUCCUAAUUACACGAGACGUCAAUACGGUACUGGGUAUUGUAAAUGGGAACAAUGCCCGGCGAAGCUAAUUCUCUCGGAUCCUCGUGUGGACGACGUUAGCAGAUAUACACGGUGUAGUUUCAGCAACAUUAUCGCUGGAACAAGCGAUCCGACUAAACCAAUCAAGGAUGAUCGAACGAACGAGCUAUAAACGACGUGGGGACAAUGGAUUGUCGAAUUGAGACUUUGCUCAUGGCGCGUUGGACCCUUUGUUUUUCUUUUAAUGGAAAAGCAUACGUGACCAAAGGAAAGUGUUUUGGGACAUACGUGGAUGGACGUCGAAUGGAUGAUUUUAGAUAAUUUUUGGAGAAACCUAAAGAAAAUAUCCAGGAAUAUCUGGUUAUCGGGGUGAAACCAUAAAGGCGCGUAUGCACGUACGUGAUCGUGGGAGGCUAGGGAAACACGUAGAUUCGCAAGACGGAAGACGGAGCGGAUACGAAGUUUAUUCUGGACCGAGGAAGAUCAUAAGGCGGAGGACUGCUUUGCUGUCUGUUGAAGUCGUUCGAGAGUUGAAAGAUUUCCGUGCCAAUGACGUGGAAGGGAGACAGGCAUUUUUUUUUCGAUUUGAAUUUACAAAGUUUUCGGAUGCUUUGUCUAUGAGUGUAUACCGGUGGAAAAACGGGUAGCAGUUUCACUGGAGGAAUUUGUAGGGGUUUUCUACAUGUAUAUAUUCUUGGCUGGUGUUGGUUGACCCUGUGUCCUCCCACUUGGCCCCUUUCAUCCCUAUCAUCCUCCGUCUCCCACCUCAGUUAGCUACCCCAGAAGCGCUCUAAAGAAACUCCGGUAUAUCGAGAGACUACGCCGUACCUUACGGGCUGCGCAGGAGAGAUAGAAUAAUUUAGCAAAUAUGGGGUGUAUUUUGUAAAUUUAUUAACGUGGGGAGGGUGUGCGCGUGAGGGUGGCGGCGAGUAGGUACGUCUACGGCGGUGGAGGGAUCGUCCCAGGGGAAGGCGUCGGGGUUGGCUAGAAUGUAUGCACCUACGUAGUUACGUUUUAGGUAUAUGUAUAUACAUGAAUGCCGUUACUGGGUAGACAGAGAGUAAGAGAGAGAGAGAGAGAGAGAGAGAGAGGGGGAAAAUAGGAGAGAGUAAGGUAGCCGUCCCCGAGGGCCAAAUUUAAACGGGUCUAGAACUUUAGAACGUUCCGACGCCUCAGCGUUCCGACGCUCUUGCGUUCCACGACCUUUGAUUCGUUUUUCCUUUCCCUACAGUAGGAAUAGCGCGAAUCCAAUUGCUUCCUGGAUGUAGAAAUAGUGAGGAAUUCACAAAAAUUUUCGUGAAAAGGUUUGCCAAAUCUCCAUUUGAGUUUAUAUUCCGUAUUACGUCACCGUCCUCCAAAUUGAAUCCCGAAAAAAUUCUUGGGAGCUGCGCAAAUCAAGGUGUGAAUGAAGAUACAUGAAUAUCAGUCAAUAUUAAAUUUUUUUUUAACUCCAUCACGUUGGCAAUUAUUUAUUAGUCUAUCUUCAAGUCCAAUAAUGGUACUUGUAAUGGUAAUGGUACUUUUAUAAAAUUAUAUACUGAUUGUACAGAUCCUUACAAGAAGUCGUACACGCGUGCAGUGCAUUAUUUCAUACUCUGUGGUAAACACAAAGUAUCUCAUGGUACUAAACAUUUUAUGUAAAUACGUUACACGAUAUCCUAUAUACAAACUCUAUGCCGUUUGGAUCCCUUUAUGAAAGCUCAAUGAUCGAACCGAAACGAAACUCCGCUUAGCAUUCUCGCUGCUACCGUGAUUUUCAAUCAGCCGUUCCAACGGGUAGUGCUAGAAGUCGAAGUCGUUUACCAGAGCAAGCAGCUAGACGUAAAACGAGUCUAGACUUUGCUUGGCUUAGCAUGGUAGCCUCGUGGGACCACGUCAGUGCUACAGGCCCUUUCAAUUUCGUUCUACCAACAAGGAGGUAGAUUUUAAAAAUCAGACCUGCAGUACAUAAGCAGCAUGCAUGCAUAACCUGAAAAAUCAAUUCUGUUGAUUACAUUGGUAACAGGUUGAUUCACUUGAGAGAAAGCUUGAAAUUCAUACAAAGCUACUCGUCCAUUCAAAAACAGUUCCAGUUUCACAGGAGGAGGACACUGGUGGCUUGUGAUAAAUGCUGCCGACUUCCUGUCUGCAGGGAAUUCAGGAACACACGUUACGUUGACCGUCCUGACGGAAUCCUCUAGUGUUUUCGCUUGAGGAUUCAGCUAUAGCGUCUGCGCAUGCGCAGUGGACAUACUCUGGGGAAGGAGCUAGACUAGGACAACCUUGGCAACCAUUGGCAACUGGCGUCCUGCGUUGCAUAUGGAGUUGAUUCUGGCUACUCAGUGGAGUUAGCACACACUGUAUAUGUUGAAGGUUCUUUCGAUGAUUAGCACCCGAGUGCAAGUCCAAGUGGCACAAUUAAUUCUGUGGAUUUCAAGAUCCCACCUGUCUCUCCGGAGCUAACGAUUUGUUUGGUUCUCUUGAGUUUGGUCUUCUGCCCGAGGUUCCCCGAGAAUACCAGAGUUCCUCUUCGGUACUGGUGGAGGAAAAAGUUGUAUAAUAGAAAGUAAAAUGAAAAAAUGUAUAAAAGUUAUAGAAAAAUAGGAGGAAAAGUUGUGUGGCUAUUUUCAAAAUAACUAUUCAUUGCUGUGAUAAAAAUGUUGAAUUUUCGUUCGCGUUUGGGAACUUUGAAACUCUCUAUAGCUGUGUGCGUAUAUUAUAUGCUUAUCGUAGUUUAUUUUUAUAGAGUCGAUUAACGUUUUAUACGAAUUCAUAGAGUUCGCUUGAAUUUUCGUUACGGGGUAUAACGUCCGAUAAAAAUAUAAUCGUCUUGUGUUACAGGAUUUGGAUAUGGGAUCCGAAAAAUACGCGAGCAGUGUUACAUCGAUAUUCGCAAUGGACUGUCGUAUGCAGCAACAAAAUAUCGGUCCAUUGAGCCACAGUGUGAUUUUCCGGAAAAGUAAUUUCAGGAUUUGGCAUUCAGAUGAAUUCACCACCUAUGCCCAUAUACGUAUAGAGUGAAUAGGUAUGAAAAAAAACUAUUCCAAAAAAAAAAAAAACUAUACAGAAACUAUUGAAUCCGGCGUACGAUUCGAGAACCACGUAAGGCAAGGAAGGGCGCGGGAAAUUCGAAAGGGCGCUACGCCAAGAAGACGUGGAAAGUCGAGGUAGUAAAUUUUGGGUGAACCCUCGCGCAACACGACAAGGGGAUAGAGUAGUUACAUUAAGCUACAACCACCCUGAACAUACAUCAGCGGUCAACCCUAACCUGCAUCUUGCCCGGGUGAAUUCUUCCUAAUUCCUAGACGGCGCUCUGGACUAUCUUACAGGACUAUAGAUUGAAGGAACCAAGGGAUUGCAUCAUGAGUUUCCUGCAGCUUUGCCAUACCACCAUGCUACGACUGCGCCACGAGUAGGGUGCGGAGAGUAUCCUAAGUUCUGGCUGAAAAAGAAAAUGAGGCUCCUCGUCGACGGCACGUGGAACAAGGUGGAAGGGUUAAGGAGCUAAAGGGAUGAAGUCAUAACGUAGGCCCAUUUCUGUUUUUGUGCCUCGGCUAGGAGCAUUCUGGUGGUUGUCGAGGGGAAUGAAACGAGGCAAUGCGGAAGCGUCGCGGCGCCUUGGUGUCUACUGAGUCGCGUGAGACGCCACCGAGCCUGCCCUACGUAUAACACACUCGUUUAGCUUACUUCUGGGUUGGAUCUAUGAGAGUUCGAGACGAUCCUGUGGUUCAGAGGUCAACCUUCGAGGUCUUACCUUCAGGGCGAAUUACCAGGAUCCAGCGAUGCCAUAGCUUCGCCGGGAACGACGAGGGUCACGGUCUACGUGGGAGGGUAGUUUUAUGGCGGGAAAGAGCACGUGGCGCCGCCACUUACCUCUCACGGCGAAAGCCUCGAGCGUCCUUGUUUCUACGCAAGAGUAAAUCCUGAAGCUAUGGCUGUGUGACGCUUUGAUGAAUUCCCUGGAAAGUUACGCCACUGUCGGAGCACCGAGUUAGAUUUAAUCGCGUGUUAAUCGUACGGGAGCAGAGACCAGUGGAAUAGAGUCUUGGCAGCGGUGUGAAUUUUCAUUUGAAAAAUAAGUCCAUAAGCAUUGGCGUAGUUUCUGGGUGUGGAUAAGAAAAAUGAGAAUUUCAUGUAAAAGUAUUGUUAUUAUUUUACUCUGCCCGGUCAAAAGACACGGUGGUAUCUGUUGUUCAGAACGGCACGGGUGAUCUUGUAGAUUGUUAGGUCUUCAAGUGAAAUUGGACUAUAAGGAACCAUUGCCAAAACGGAUAUACGUAAAUGUCCUAAACAAGACUCGUUAACCACUUCUAAUAGGGUAACUUGCUAAAUAUCGGUCUUUGGUUAAGGGGUCAUCCAGUGAUAUCUAAAUCGUCUCAUUUCGGGUGGCUUUCAUAUUACCUUCGUCACCAAGAUCAAAUUAAACCUCACGGAGCGAGUAGAUGUAUUUGUUAAAGAUACGAGUAAGGGUUUUCUUUUUAAGGGCACUUAUUAAGUUUUGACUCAUUAGCACGUGGCUCGGACGAAUUUACUAAUUACCAUUAGGUUUCUCAAGAUAAAAGUCAAUGGACGGUGUCAGUGUUUCAAUGGAUGAUUAAUCAGGGUGGGUCGGGGGUGCUUUUGGCGAAGGGAAAAAAAUGUUAAAUAUAAAAUUUUACUAGUCGAGCCUGUAGGCGUCAUCGGAACUACGUGACGCCAUGACGGUAUGACGUAAGAGGGAAAACUUCGAGAACAUUCGAGUUAGUUCUGGGGCAAAUGGUUCGCCAAGAAUUACCCAACCCCUGUUCUGGUUUCCGCUCGAAAAAAAAAGAUGGCUCGUUUUUCCCUCCCUUCGCCGAGGGCUUAAUUAGUUCAAUCAAAUUAUGAAUAUUUAAUUCGGCCUGUCGUUAUUCCGCUCGUCCCGGCCCUUCUUUGCGAAAAGAUAAUUGGCCCGCAGCGGAAUUAGUUUUCAGCAGCGGUCGGGGCCACUGCUCGAUACGAUGUGAAUGCGGAAGGAGGCUUGCUGAAAGUUUACGUCGACGUAGCAGAAAUCCUGACGUCACGUCAAAGCAAGGGAACACCGAAAGUAGGCUUUAAAGAUUUGUAAAAAAAAAUUAUACUACCCCUAAUAAAAACCGUACUCUUGAAAUCGGCGUG